AUUGAGUACCUCAGUGUCAGGAUCUGCAACAAGCGUGAGCUUUUGGAGGAGGAGCAAUGGCAACUGGUUCUCAACCAAGAGCAUGUCAGAGAUGAUAUAGGAGUACAAGUAUAGACGGCCAUGCUUGCUGAAAACAGGGUCAUCGGACCCAUAACCUUGUACCUCCACCUCAUCCUUCAUCACCUCCAGCAAGAAGCAGCCGUCGGUGACCAUCAGCUCCACGAACCGCUCUCCACUCCACUCCUCGCCUAGGUUCUCAUAAGCGCCCCGCAGUUGUUCGGCUAUCCCCUCCACGGCAGCGGUGAACUCCUGCCGUGGCUUCCCACUCCGGCUGACCAUGUGCGCCACCGCGCGCUGCUUGUGCGCCUCCAUGGGCUUCAACGGGGGUUCGCCGUAGUGGAAGGGCCCCAGCGACACCACCUGCGGCCGAUACGCGUCCCGGUUGGUCAUGUCCUUGAUGUACUCUGGCACCCGAUAAAUCGAGUGCCGCUG
rnacentral:sRNA from 1 species